rnacentral:tRNA from 1 species
ACUUCUAAAGGAUAACAGCAAUCCGCCGGUCUUAGGAACCUGUAACUCUUGGUGCAAAUCCAAGUAGUAGU